rnacentral:rRNA from 1 species
AACGCGAAGAACCUUACCAGCCCUUGACAUGUCCCGUGAGGGGCCGAGAGAUCGGCUUCAUCAGUUCGGCUGGCGGGAACACAGGUGCUGCAUGGCUGUCGUCAGCUCGUGUCGUGAGAUGUUGGGUUAAGUCCCGCAACGAGCGCAACCCUCACCUUCAGUUGCCAUCGGGUCAAGCUGGGCACUCUGAAGGAACUGCCGGUGACAAGCCGGAGGAAGGCGGGGAUGACGUCAAGUCCUCAUGGCCUUUAUGGGCUGGGCUACACACGUGCUACAAUGGCGGUGACAGAGGGAGGCACAGGGGCGACCCCUAGCCAAUCUCGAAAAGCCGUCUCAGUUCGGAUUGUUCUCUGCAACUCGAGAGCAUGAAGCUGGAAUCGCUAGUAAUCGCGGAUCAGCACGCCGCGGUGAAUACGUUCCCGGGCCUUGUA